rnacentral:rRNA from 1 species
ACGGACUUCGGUCUGGUGGCGAGUGGCGAACGGGUGAGUAACAUAUCGGAACGUAUCCAAUAAUGGGGGAUAACUAAUCGAAAGGUUGGCUAAUACCGCAUACGCCCUACGGGGGAAAGCUAGGGACCUUCGGGCCUGGCGUUAAUGGAGCGGCCGAUAUCUGAUUAGCUAGUUGGUGGGGUAAAGGCCCACCAAGGCGACGAUCAGUAGCUGGUCUGAGAGGACGACCAGCCACACUGGAACUGAGACACGGUCCAGACUCCUACGGGAGGCAGCAGUGGGGAAUUUUGGACAAUGGGCGCAAGCCUGAUCCAGCCAUUCCGCGUGAGUGAAGAAGGCCUUCGGGUUGUAAAGCUCUUUCGCAAGGGAAGAAAACUUAGAUACUAAUAUUAUCUGAGGUUGACGGUACCUUGAUAAGAAGCACCGGCUAACUACGUGCCAGCAGCCGCGGUAAUACGUAGGGUGCGAGCGUUAAUCGGAAUUACUGGGCGUAAAGCGUGCGCAGGCGGUUUUG